rnacentral:rRNA from 1 species
UACGUAGGUGGCGAGCGUUGUCCGGAUUUACUGGGCGUAAAGCGCGCGCAGGCGGACUGAUCAGUCUGGGGUGAAAUCUCACGGCUCAACUGUGAGCGGUCCCUGGAUACUGUCAGUCUUGAGAUGUCUAGAGGAGAGCGGAAUUCCCGGUGUAGUGGUGGAAUGCGUAGAUAUCGGGAAGAACACCAGUGGCGAAAGCGGCUCUCUGGGGGACCAUCUGACGCUGAGGCGCGAAAGCGUGGGGAGCGAACGG